AAAUCCCUUGAAGAAAGCUUUUGGAUCCAAGAUAUCUUCCAACGGCUAGUUUUAUCGGUUUUCCUUAUUUGUUUGCUUCUUUUUUUGUUUUAGUUUUCUAGCUAAGUUAAGGCACGAGCCUAUAUAAGCUCUGUCUAGUCUUCAUUGUAAGUCACCUUUCAAUUCUUAAGAAAUAAUAUUCAGUUUAUCUUUUAUCAAAGAAUUUCUUUGCAUAAAAAUCUGUUCUUUAGUUUCUAAGUGUGAGAUACAUUAGAAAGCUAUUGAGCUUGUGGUUCAUAGGUUCUUUGUGUGAUACAGGAGCCUUGAGACACAGAUUGAGAGAGUCAAUCAGCACCCACGGAUUGAGAGAGUCAAUCAUCAUCUAUCCAACAUCAUCUAUCCAUCCUCCAUCAUCAAACAUCUAUCCAUAAACCAUUCCAUCCCUUUAUCUUUUCAGUUUCUAUUCUUAUUUUAAUUAUUCAUAAACUCAUUGUUCUUCAUUGUUUCCAGGUUAGAUUGGAUUAAAAGGAACAGAAAGUCGGCCAUCUUCACCAUCUUUCCAUCCGGCCUUCAUCCUUACCGAUAAGAUCGACCCAUCGCCCAUCCAUCUCAUCGACCCAGCUUCCCAGCCUGCAACAGCAUCUUUCCUCCAGUAGAUCAUACAGUUGUCUAUACACACAUCUAUCAUCUCCGAAGGUAAGCCAAGACUAUGAACAAGUUU
rnacentral:lncRNA from 1 species